rnacentral:misc_RNA from 1 species
GAUUUGUUGCAGCUAUCACCUAAAAUUAUUAUAAGAAGUUUUAAUCAUUCUAAUAACCAAAGAACAACAAGUUUGAGUGCCAUAAUGCAGUAGCCAUCUCUAAGUCCAACAACAACCAGGCAAAAUUUCUACCACACGGCACAUUGAUCCCAAAUAAAAUGAAAUCCAAUGCAUAAAUUGAACGUUUGACCCCUCUGAUCCUUAUUAUAUAAGCGGCAAAUGUAAUACAAUCAUCAACCAACCUUAA